UUAUGGCCAUAUCACAUUAAAACACCAUUUCUCAUACGAUCUCCAAAGUUAAGCCUGGCCAGUACCUAGAUGGGUGACCGCUUGGGAAUACCAGGUGCUGUAAG